rnacentral:rRNA from 1 species
GAUGAACGCUGGCGGCGUGCUUAACACAUGCAAGUCGAACGGGAAACCUAUUAUUGAAACUUCGGUCGAUUUAAUUUGUUUCUAGUGGCGGACGGGUGAGUAACGCGUGGGUAACCUGCCCUAUACAGGGGGAUAACAACCAGAAAUGGUUGCUAAUACCGCAUAAGCGCACGGGACCGCAUGGUCCAGUGUGAAAAACUCCGGUGGUAUAGGAUGGACCCGCGUUGGAUUAGCUAGUUGGUGGGGUAACGGCCCACCAAGGCGACGAUCCAUAGCCGGCCUGAGAGGGUGAACGGCCACAUUGGGACUGAGACACGGCCCAGACUCCUACGGGAGGCAGCAGUGGGGAAUAUUGCACAAUGGGGGAAACCCUGAUGCAGCGACGCCGCGUGAAGGAAGAAGUAUCUCGGUAUGUAAACUUCUAUCAGCAGGGAAGAUAGUGACGGUACCUGACUAAGAAGCCCCGGCUAACUACGUGCCAGCCGCCGCGGUAAAAC